UGUGGUGAUCUCGGACCAGGC
rnacentral:miRNA from 1 species